rnacentral:rRNA from 1 species
GACGAACGCUGGCGGCGUGCCUAAUACAUGCAAGUAGAACGCUGAAGAGAGGAGCUUGCUCUUCUUGGAUGAGUUGCGAACGGGUGAGUAACGCGUAGGUAACCUGCCUUGUAGCGGGGGAUAACUAUUGGAAACGAUAGCUAAUACCGCAUAACAAUGGAUGACACAUGUCAUUUAUUUGAAAGGGGCAAUUGCUCCACUACAAGAUGGACCUGCGUUGUAUUAGCUAGUAGGUGAGGUAAUGGCUCACCUAGGCGACGAUACAUAGCCGACCUGCGAGGGUGAGCGGCCACACUGGGACUGGGACACGGCCCAGACUCCUACGGGAGGCAGCAGUAGGGAAUCUUCGGCAAUGGGGGCAACCCUGACCGAGCAACGCCGCGUGAGUGAAGAAGGUUGUCGGAUCGUAAAGCUCUGUUGUAAGUCAAGAACGGGUGUGAGAGUGGAAAGUUCACACUGUGACGGUAGCUUACCAGAAAGGGACGGCUAACUACGUG